CCUUUUCUGUCUGUCUCUCUCUGCCCCGUUCCCUCUCCCGUCGUUUCUAACUGUGUCCCCCUGUCCAGCUAGCUGUCUCUUCUUUCUUUUUUUCUGUUCCUCAGUACUUUUUUCUUUUCCCGUAUCUCUCUCCCACUGCCCAUCGCAGUUUUUUUUUUCCCCUCCGAUGCUGGCCUGCUCUUUGUCCCUUUUGUCUCUCUCUGUCCUUCCGUCGUGCUCCCUGUGUCUGUUUAAUCCCUUCAUCUCUGUCCUGCAGCCCGUCGCGAUUUUUUUUUUUUCUCUUCCGUCCCUUUGUCCUGCUCCCCGUCCUUGUCUCUCUUUCCCUUGGUUCUGCCUCCCGUCUUUUUUUCCUUUCUUUCUCCAUCUCUCUGUCCUGCUCCCUAUCCCUCGCGCGCGCUCUCUGUUUCUGCGUCCUUCUCCUUGCCUUUCCCCACGUUCUCUGUCUUGUUCCCUCUUUGGUUUUCUUGUUUGCCGGGUGGCUGGGCCCGGCUACCCGCGGGGGUGCUUCGGCUCGGGGGUUUGGGGUGGGGGCCUGGCCGUGCCGGCGAUGGCGGGGAAAUAAAGCCUGAAAGGGCAAUCGCGAAGCGAGGCCCUGCCUGUGCUGGGGCUGCCCCGCAGAGGCGUGGGGCCGGGCCCUCCGCAGGUCGCGGGCACUCCCCAAAACUGCGCGUGGGGCCCCGGGGGUGCGGGGCUGCGGGGUGGCUACGCUCGGCGUCGCCCGUGGGCGCUGCAGGGUCAGAAAUGGAGAACAAGUUUUCUGUUCCCGGGGCUUGACGACAGGCUCGCGCGGCUGAUUUUGGGGCUCGGAAACAGACCGAGCUGCGCGGCUUUGGGCCCAGAAACAGAGGUCCGGCCCUGCGUUUUUGGGCCUUGAGAACAGGCUCGGCAGCCGGGGUUUUUGGCUCCCAAAGGGGCCCCGAGUCCGCUGGCGUGGGGGCCAAAAGCGGAAGCCGGCGUGGCUGGUUUGGCAGGCGGGUGGGAGGGUGUUGGGGGCUGCGGGGGGAAGCAGGGGGUGGGCAGGGUGCGUGGACCCUCCCCGGAGAUGGGGGUCUGGUGGUGUCGGACGCCGAAGUUCGGGAGGCCGGCGCGCAGCAGGCCGCACUCAACUUCUGCGAUGGUCUGUGGGGGGGAAAGGCGCUUUUCAGACCCCACGUGCCCUCUUUGAGUCCAGCUCUUCUUUCUGCGCUGCUCAGAAUAGUUGUUCAGUAAUUAAUCGCCCGAACUAACGACUAUUUAUACGGCGUGUAACUCUGAUGUUUAAUCCCAAUGCUCCAGUUUUGACAGCAGUUGAUAUACAACCUUGUGGAAAGGCCAGACCGUUGCACGUAGCUGGAGCUUGUAAGGAGAAGCAGCUGAAAUCAGCCGGAGCUUCAGCGCGGAGCUGGGGCUUCAGCGAGCCAGAACUGUAGCAAGCGGGAGCUGGAACGAGCGUCACCUUCCGCGUCACACGAAGAAAAUCCCGCGUGGGUAAUUCCGCUUGCUGCUCAGAGUGUCGAUGGCAUGUUGUCCCGUGGCACAAUCCCCAUUCCGUUCAGCGGAGUCUUCAGUCUAGGACUUUUAAGUAAAAAAGUUUGUCCUUCCAAAAAAGGACUAGUCAGUCGUUCAUAGGACCGAGGCAUAGACUUGGAGAGUCGCUUAAGUACGUGACCGGAAUUAAAGCCAACUUUCAGUUGAUGUUGCUGCUGUUGGUCUUUGCUUUCAUUGAUUUCUCCAGCACUCCGUCAUGGUUGGGAGCUCUGAAUCGUAAUGUUUUUCAGUCUCUAACACGUUUCCACCUCCCCGCCACCCCCCCCAAAAAAAGGAGAGGCAGUGUCUAAAAGUUAAUUAGUUUCCUCACAAAUGCGUCAGUAAAUCGAAUUUGAGUUAUGAUGAUUAAAACCAUAAAAAUGACACCGGUCUGGUGAGACAAUAGCAGAUCUGGACUACUUCUGAACAGGCAUUCAUCACACGCAAAAGUUGUCAGGGUGCGGAUCACCUGCGCUUCAUGCUCUGACGAGACAAAAUGCUGAGGCAGGGAUGAGCUCUGAAAG